AUGUGGCGAAGCUGGGAUCAGAACCAGGCCUGGUACUCUUUCCGGUAGACCACACUGCUUCUAUUUCCUAUCACUCAUUACCUUUGAGUGCCGACGUGGCUCUUGUGAGGCAUUUCCCCAUCUAGAAGACUGGAAGCCGGCGGCUGUAGAUUUGGUCCUCACCACUACCAUCGACCCCGCUGCUUCAGAGAAGAAGCGUGAGGCGGCAGUGGAGGCAGUCCAAGUCAGUAAGACAAGGCGAAUCCACGCUGCUGCCCGGACCUCAGCUCUCCAUCAUUCGUUUGUGGUUUUUUGAGCCACGAGCUCGUUCCCCAUCUCAACGAACAAAAUCUUCAACUUCGCAGUGAAAGACCACCCUGCGUCUCUGUCUUGCAACUCCAAGAAAAAUCCAAAAUUAGAGGAUCCAUUCCUAAUCGACUCCCUCCCUCCGCCAGAUUCCCAGUGGAUAUUGUUGAACUCUCUUCUCUCGCCGUUCUUUUUGCGCGUGGACCUCGGUUACUCUGGAAAUCAGCAGGUGAAAGCAGUGACACAGGUGAAUGUUCCAGCUUUUCACGUGAAUGGAUUAUUGACCUGUCAUCUGUUUAAAUGAAAAAACACCACCUGAAAAAAGUGCUCUUGGAGAUGAAACACUACCCCGCAAGGUGAUCGGUACUAAGCUCGCAAGACUGACGUGUCUCUUCCCUGACCAUGAUGAUCAGAUCACACGGACACCCACCCUUAACAGUGGAGGUGUAAAUGCGAGCUAACCAGAAGUGGAGAAACCAGGAGGAAGAGAAACAAAAGAUCUGGAUAAUCUGAUAAUUAGGAGCUGAUUGGACGGGGACUGAAAUCAUCUAACCUUGCAUGCCUGGACUCCUGGCUAUGAAGAAAAUGCCAUUUUUUAGACUUUCCUUGUCUGGUUGAUACGGGCUUUUACGCAAAGUAGUUUAGUGUACAUGUCAGGUACGUAGGAAAAAAAACACGGAAGCUCUUGAAUAAAAGAACAGAUCACGGCAGAGUCAAUUCUGUGGUAACAAAAUGGACCCUGAAGGUAAAAGCUUGUCUGGUUCUUUAAAUAAAGUACACAAGUACAGAGUGCCUGUAAUACAGUUCAGUCACUUUGAUUCACCAUCUCCUUAUAACAGACACCAUACCAGGAAGUAGAACUGAAUUCUGAACUUGCUUGGUUCCCUUACUUUCUGGAUGGACAGGACCUUGAAGCAAAUAAAGUGGAUGGACGGCCUUG